CCGCUGUGGGGCGGGGGCGGCUUCCCCGCCUAGCAGAGUGACCCUUGGGGCAGCGGGGCCACGGGUCAGGCCCGGCCCGCCCGAGUGUCCCUCAGAGCCCGCCGGGAUCGGGAUCGGGGCCGGGGCCGGACGGGGUGUCCCUCAGAGCCCGCCGGGAUCGGGGCAAGGGACCGCCGGGGUGUCCCUUGGAGCCCGCCGGGGCUGGGGCCGGGGACUGCCCGGGUGUCCUUCAGAACCCCGGCAAGACGGUCUGUCCUCGGGCCGCCACUGCCCCCGUCCCGCACGGAGUUAGCGGAGGCCGGGGGAAGGCGGCGCCAUGGAGGCCGGGAGGGGCGUUCCGGGUGAGCGCGGCGGCCGCGGCCGCGCUCGCUGCCGCCCGGGCCCCGGCGCGCUGCGGAGGGCCGCGGGGGGGCCGGGCCGGCUCGUUGGCGGGAGCGGCUGGCCCGGCCCGGCGCGGGCCGGCUGUCGCCCCGGGGCCCGCAGCAGGCGGAGCAGCUGCGCCUUCCUGUCACGCAAUGCAGUUACAAGCGUGGCUUUAGCCUUCAAGGGAACGUGGAGCACUUUCUCUCCUGAUGCAACCGAAUUUCUGUCAACCUAAUUAGCUUUGCUUUAAAACCAUUAUUGAGGAAGUUCAUGGGUGACGCUAAUUUCUGGAAGCAAAAUGAUACGUAAAUCAGUUCAUGUACAAGCUUCAUAGCGUAAUUUAGUGAUGCUAUGGCAAUGGGGGAAAAAAGGAAGGAAGCAUUCCUUUGUUGCCUUUUUAGGUAAGGUUUAGCCCUUUGCUGACAGGUGCGAGUUCAGUGCAGAGUUGUUUUACGAAUCUUUCCGACUCACUAUCCAUAGGUGGUAUUUCAAAUAUAGCUGUGAUACUUUGGGCAUCUAUCCUGACCACCUGUUCACAGUCACUUGUCCUCCACUUAGUCUGUACUAGAAGCCAGAGCUGUCAUCAAAAUGCAUUCCUGAGACUUUCUAUAAAACUUCAGGCUAUGCUGAUUGGUAAGAACACAUCCUCCUCAGUAAUCAGAAUCUACAUUAGAGAAGUCUUAGGCCUCUGUAUCCUUGAGUAAAGACACACCCAUCUACCUGUUACAUUCCUUUCCAGAUGACAUGCCUAUUCAAGGCAAGGCUCUGGUAAUCUCAUUCAUGGUGACAUCUCAUCUACAAUAAUUACACCACUUCCGUAAGACAGUGUGGCAUCUCAUGAGGAAGCAUAUGCACAUCUGUUCUAAACUUAAGCAGUAUUUAUUACAGCUAGAACUGUCUUCUUCAGCAAGAUGAUAGUAUUUCGGCUGCGCUUUUUACUGAAUAAUAUAAUUAGCUGCUAUUGUACCACUUGGUGUAGGCUAAAACAUCUUUCUACACUAAUCUGAAAGUGAUUAAAACUGUAAGAAUAAAUUCUCAUUGUUGUUAU